UUCAAUGAUAGGGCUAUUGUGUCUUGAAU
rnacentral:piRNA from 1 species